UUUCUGAUUGAGUGUAAGCUGCUAUAUGAAGGGAUCCACAAGACGAAUAAUUAAGGGGGACCUCUGAUCAACAGCCAGCAAGGAACUGAAUCCCUCAGACCCACAACUCACAAGAAACUGAAGCUGAAGCAGAUUCUUCCUCAGUCAAGCUUCAGGUGCCCAGCUGUAUUGGUAGAGGAGACCAACCACACCCUCCACAGCACAGCACCUGGAGAGGAACUGCUGCCAUGACCAUAGAGGACACCCUCUGGAUACAAUGCCAGACUUGAUGUGGGACUGACCAACCUAUGGACCCCAGGCACCACCACCCAGACCUGCUCAGCACCUGAAACAUUCACAGCCGUGGAGAGAGAACUGUUCACUGCUACCAUCCACACUUCUGGGCCCCUUCAGCAGCAGGGUGACAAGGAAGAGGGAAAUCGACUUGGAAAAGAGGGGACCUCUGACCCAAGAGUUCGGUCAAUGCAUAUGUUGGCAGCCAGCUGCACAUCGCACCAAAUAUGAACUUCAAAUAGAAGAAAGCCUCAUUUGGAAGAAAGCUCAUGCACAGACUGUAAAUAUUUCAGAGCAGAUUGUGUCUCUGUAGAUUAACAAACAGUUUAUUUUUCCAGUAUGACAAUGUUGUGACAAGAUCAGAAGCCAGCUUUCUCACCAUUAAAUCAAAGUCUUAUCAAUAUAUGGAGACUUUUAUGGAAAGAAACCUGAAAUUACGCAGAAAUGCCUUCCGCAAGAAGUGGCUAGUAUGGUGGCUUCAAGAACAGUGACAUUUUUCAGUAUGUCCGUUGUUCUAAGACGUUAGUACAUCACAAUUACCUAGAAAACUUGUUAAAACACAGAAGUCUGGGCUCCCCCUCUUGGCCAACCCCCAUUCCCAGAGGGUUUCUGUUUCCAUGGGUCUGAAAUACCACCUAACGAUUGGCAUUUCUAACAAAUUUCUGCAUGAAGCUGCUGGUCUGAGGACCACACUUUGACAACCAGUGCACUACAUUAAGCUAUCUGGAGAAGCUGCAAAUGCAGAUGAAGAAGCUACAAAUUUUUCUAUGUCAACAAAAAUUGACUGAUGAGGGUGACCUUCGGAUCAUGUUUUUAAUGUUUAUGAAACUGGUCUCAUUAUCAGAAGUAAAUGGCUUCAAGAACUUCAGCCUGAGGAAGAAAACAUGAGUCCUAGGCAUAUCAGGCUACAACCAUGUUUGGAAUGAAUCUAGGUGCAAAUCUCAGUGGAGAAUUAACUGUACCAAUAUUUUAAUUAGGAUUACUAAUGUUUUGUUACUUCCUGAUUACAAGGUUCUAUAGGUUUUGAAUGAUCCACUGUAAUCCUGUUUCUUUUCCAUAAGUCGUGUAGUUUUUAGCAUGUAAUUAUGCAGACCAUAAGGUUUUUCAGGAAUACUAAUAUGGCAUUAGAUUAGAAAUGCUAUAUUAAAAAUUCUUAUUAAAUCUACUGAUAGUAACCAAAAAAUAGAAGAUUCAGAAGAACUAGCAAAUGUGGAGAGAACGGAUGAAAUGGAAGCAGUGUGAACCUAGUGAAUACUUGCCAAGCUGUAUCUCCCCUGAAUUUGUCAAAACAUCAUCUCCAGCAUCUGAGCUAGACCAACCCUCAGUGCUAACAUUGAUGUGAUUAAAGAGUCUGAACUGGGAGCAGAAUUCCUUCAGGUAUUUUGUUAAUAAAAUAAAGCUCUCCAUCUCUCCUUAAAUUAAACAA
rnacentral:lncRNA from 1 species